rnacentral:rRNA from 1 species
AAAUUGAAGAGUUUGAUCAUGGCUCAGAUUGAACGCUGGCGGCAGGCCUAACACAUGCAAGUCGAACGGUAACAGGAAGCAGCUUGCUGCUUUGCUGACGAGUCUGACGAGU